CCGCCAUCUUCGCCCUUUUUGCUGCGUUUCGGCAUCCCGCCCGCUUUUCCUCGUGAGUCCCAGCGCCGGAAGUGCCGUCGAGGAACGGAAGUGACGCGUGAAAAAACGAAACCGGAUGUGACGUCACGAAGCCGGGCCUUCCCAGGGGAGGGAAGCGAGAAACCGGAAGUGGGGCUAAAAACUACACCCCGUCCGCAGUGGGGCGGUGGGAAUGGACACCGGAAGUGACCCCACAGAUGACCGGAAAUGGAGGUAAAACGCGGAAGCCGCUGCGAAAAGCAAACAACCUGAUCCGCCAUGAGGAGCAAACCGGAAGUGACGCUGAGAUAACCGGAAGUGGGGCUGCAACGCCGGUGCGGAGCUGAAAACGACGAAUGCGGUGAACGACAAACCGGAAGUGGCGUUCAAACAGAACCGGAAAAGCGUCCAGAAAACCGGAAGCGAGCGAACGCGCGUGCGGAGAACACAACUAAAGGGCUGCGAGCACCGGAAGUGUUGAAGGCAAAGACCGGAAGUGCCACUGCGACGCACCGGAAGUCGUCUGCGGGCAAAAAGAGAGGGUGGAUGGAUGCGAGCGCAGAGCAACAAGAAGUGGACCAGCGGCAGACCGGAAGUGGCUGCGAGGAGAACCGGAAGUUGCCCCGAUGGAGAACGGGGAUUGGUGGAGGGGUGCGAGCGGUGGAGCGCACCGGAAGUGGUGCUGCCCAGCACCGGAAGUUGCUGUGAAAAACACCGGAAGUUGUCCCGCUGGGACGCAGGGAUUGGUAAGGGAAUGAAAGAGCGCGGCGGGGUAAACCGGAAGUGCUGGACAGAAAGGGCGGAAGUGGCUGCGAGCAGAACGGGAAGUGGUCCCCAUAGAACGCAGGGAUUCGUGCAGUAAUGAGCGGGCUGGAGCAUACCGGAAGUGGUGUUAAGAAAGGGCGGAAGUAGCCCUGAACAGCACCGGAAGUUGUUUCUUUGUAACUUUGGGAUUGGUCGAGAAACGGGCGGCACAGGCGACCACCGGAAGUGGGGGUAGGAAAGGGCGGAAGUGACUGAGAGAAGAACCACAAGUGUCCCAGAAACAACGCAGGAUUGGUGCAGGAAUGAGCAGGGUGGACCACACCGGAAGUGGCGUUAAGAAAGGGCGGAAGUGGCCCUGAGCAGCACCGGAAGUUCUAUCUUUGCAACUUUGGGAUCGGCGCUGAGCAGCAACGGAAGUUUUUUCGGUGCAACAUUGGGAUUGGUGGAGAAACGGGCGCCACACUCGGGCACCGGAAGUGGUGCUGCGAAAGGGCGGAAGUGUCUGCGAGCAGAACCAAAAGUAUCCCCGAAACAACGCAGGGUUUGGACGAGGAAGACGCCGGGCGGAGCAAACCGGAAGCGGGCUUAAGAGCGGGCGGAAGCGGCUGCGAGGAGAAGCGGAAGUCGCCCCUCGGCGGCUCUGAGAUCGGUCGAAACGCGCGCGCUUGUCGGCGGACCGCCGGAAGUGACCGGGCUGAGAAGCGGAAGAUCGAGGCGCCAUGCCGACGGUGUUGGGCCUGGAAGGUUCGGCCAAUAAAGUCGGAGCCGGGGUGGUUCGGGACGGCCAGGUGCUGAGCAACCAAAGGGCCACGUACGUCACACCGCCGGGACAAGGUUUCGCUCCCGGCCCCGUGAGCCGCCAUCACAGAGCGAAGCUGCUAGACUUGGUGGAGGCGGCGCUGAAGGAAGCGGGGCUGAGAGGCGGGGACGUCGAUGCGGUCGCGUUCACCAAAGGUUUGGGCCGCGCGGGGACCCGUAGCGACACAUAGGGAGCCAUAGGGACCCCAUAGGGACACAUAGGGACCCCAUAGGGACCCCAUAGAGACACAUAGGGACACA